rnacentral:rRNA from 1 species
CGCUGGCGGCGUGCUUAACACAUGCAAGUCGAACGAGAGGACAAGAGAAGCUUGCUUCUUUGGAAUCGAGUGGCAAACGGGUGAGUAACACGUAAACAACCUGCCUUCAGGAUGGGGACAACAGACGGAAACGACUGCUAAUACCGAAUACGCUUGGGAGACCGCAUGAUCUACCAAGGAAAGGGUGGCCUCUACCUGUAAGCUAUCGCCUGAAGAGGGGUUUGCGUCUGAUUAGGCAGUUGGUGAGGUAACGGCCCACCAAACCUACGAUCAGUAGCCGGUCUGAGAGGAUGAACGGCCACACUGGAACUGAGACACGGUCCAGACUCCUACGGGAGGCAGCAGUGGGGAAUCUUCCGCAAUGGGCGAAAGCCUGACGGAGCAACGCCGCGUGAGUGAUGACGGCCUUCGGGUUGUAAAGCUCUGUGAUCGGGGACGAACGGUCCGUAAGCUAAUACCUUAUGGAAGUGACGGUACCCGAAUAGCAAGCCACGGCUAACUACGUG